rnacentral:sRNA from 1 species
GGAACACCAAUUUUUUGGGAUGCAUGUGCUCGCUCCAACAAUAAUUUUCCAAACACCCGUGCACAUUUUUGAGGGAGCUUCGAGUUUGAUUGCCUCUUUGUGGGCGAUUUUCUUGCAUCCCCUCAAACUUCAUUAUACGCUGUUAACAAUGCUGAACGUGCCUUGUGCCGCAAGGCCUUAAACAUUAAUACAACUUUUAACAACGGAUCUCUUGGCUCUCGCAUCGAUGAAGGACGCAGCGAAAUGCGAUAAGUAAUGUGAAUUGCAGAAUUCAGUGAAUCAUCGAAUCUUUGAACGCACCUUGCGCUCCCUGGUAUUCCGGGGAGCACGCCUGUUCGAGUGUCGCGAAAUUCCUCAAGCUUUGGAUGGCUUCUUUUGUCUGUCCUUGGGCUUGGUUGUUGGGCUCUGCUGUGUGGGGGGGGUUGGGACGGCUGGCCUUAAAAGCAUUAGCCGAUCCUUGUGUGGUUACUGGUUCUACUCAGCGUGAUAACAGUCUGAUCGUUGAGGACAUCUUCUGGAUGGCCAGUCCUCAUUUGGGUUGCUUCUAAACCGGUUUCGCGGAUUGCUCAAUCUGUGUGCCACUUUUCAGCUUUGGCCUCGAAUCAGGUGGGACUACCCGCUGAACUUAAGCAUAUCAAUAAGCGG